rnacentral:rRNA from 1 species
AUUGAACGCUGGCGGCAGGCCUAACACAUGCAAGUCGAACGAGUGGCGGACGGGUGAGUAAUGUCUGGGAAACUGGCUGAUGGAGGGGGAUAACUACUGGAAACGGUAGCUAAUACAGCAUAAGAUAAGAUGUGGCAAGGUUGGAUUAGGUAAUUGGUGGGGUAACGGCUCACCAAGGCGACGCUCCCUAGCCGUUCUGAGAGGAUGACCCGCCACACUGGGACUGCGACACGGUCCAGACUCCGACGGGAGGCAGCAGUAGGUAAUCUUACACAAUGGGCGCAAGCCUGAUGCAGCCAUGCCGCGUGAGUGAAGAAGGCCUUCGGGUUGUAAAGCACUUUCAGCGGGGAGGCGUUACCCGCAGAAGAAGCACCGGCUAACUCCGUGCCAGCAGCCGCGGUAAUAC